UACGUAGGGGGCAAGCGUUAUCCGGAUUCACUGGGCGUAAAGGGAGCGCAGGCGGCACGGCAAGUCUGGUGUGAAAGCCCGGGGCCCAACCCCGGGACUGCAUUGGAAACUGCCGGGCUGGAGUGCCGGAGGGGUAAGCGGAAUUCCUAGUGUAGCGGUGAAAUGCGUAGAUAUUAGGAGGAACACCAGUGGCGAAGGCGGCCUACUGGACGGUGACUGACGCUGAGGCUCGAAAGCGUGGGGAGCAAACAGG
rnacentral:rRNA from 1 species